UUUAUGGAGAGUUUGAUCCUGGCUCAGGAUGAACGCUGGCGGCGUGCCUAAUACAUGCAAGUCGAGCGAACGGACGAGAAGCUUGCUUCUCUGAUGUUAGCGGCGGACGGGUGAGUAACACGUGGAUAACCUACCUAUAAGACUGGGAUAACUUCGGGAAACCGGAGCUAAUACCGGAUAAUAUUUUGAACCGCAUGGUUCAAAAGUGAA
rnacentral:rRNA from 1 species